rnacentral:rRNA from 1 species
AGUGAACGCUGGCGGUAGGCCUAACACAUGCAAGUCGAACGGCAGCACAGUAAGAGCUUGCUCUUACGGGUGGCGAGUGGCGGACGGGUGAGGAAUACAUCGGAAUCUACUUUUUCGUGGGGGAUAACGUAGGGAAACUUACGCUAAUACCGCAUACGACCUACGGGUGAAAGCAGGGGAUCUUCGGACCUUGCGCGACUGAAUGAGCCGAUGUCGGAUUAGCUAGUUGGCGGGGUAAAGGCCCACCAAGGCGACGAUCCGUAGCUGGUCUGAGAGGGUGAUCAGCCACACUGGAACUGAGACACGGUCCAGACUCCUACGGGAGGCAGCAGUGGGGAAUAUUGGAAAAAGGGCGGAAGCCUGAUCCAGCCAUACCGCGUGGGUGAAGAAGGCCUUCGGGUUGUAAAGCCCUUUUGUUGGGAAAGAAAAGCAGCAGGUUAAUACCCCGCUGUUCUGACGGUACCCAAAGAAUAAGCACCGGCUAUCUUCGU